CUGAUAGACAAAUCCGUGAUUGUAUUAGGGUUUGGAGUUGGAGACAGAGUCUCAGUGCGGGUUGCGACUUGCGAGCUCCAAGAUACUUCGUUUCGUCAAUCUUCUCUUGAUUCCUUUCAGGAACACAACGUCAUCGUCUUGUGCUGCCUGGUGUCCUCGGCUACACAAAAGAUUCUCUCGUUCAUUGUGGUUUACUGGUUCAACGCACUCGCCGGUUUCGAGCUUCUCUGUUCUCGCCGGUUCUCUGCUUUUCCAGUCUCUCCGCUCUUGGAACACUGAAAGACGGUAGAAAUUGAAAAGAAAGAAAGAGAAGGUUGUUAUGGCGGGGCAGGCAGGGAAAGCUGCAGCUGGUAAUGUGGCGAAGGCGGUAGCGGCAGCGGAGUAUCAGUAUCCGUGGCGUGAGAAGUUGGCUAAAUACAAGGAUGAACUUGCCAAGGGUGUGUGGGGGUACUGGGAGCUGGGGGCAUGGAAGCCCCUCAGCAUCAGCGCCAGGCGGAGGGCUAGGCUUCGCAAGGAAGUUCUUCUUGCUGGGGAAGAUUGGCAGUUUGAUCCGGAAAGGAAGGAGAUGAGAACAAGGAGGAAAGGGCACAAGUGCGAUAGGAUAGCCGCGGAGAAGAGGGAGAACACGGCCAGGUUGAUGGAGAAGAUGCCGGAAAUGUUGCUAGAUUACAAGAAGAGAAGGUGGCAGAAGAAGAUGAAGGAAGAAGACAAAGGCAAACUGUGAUUUUGUCAUUCUUUUUGCUCAAAUCUGCCUAUGCAAAUUUAUAAACUUGCUUUAGAAAUGUGCUUGCUCCUUGGAAUCUGCAUGGUUGAGUGCAUGUUGGAACUAACAUUGCUUAUCUUAGGCAGUAGCUGGUCUAGUCUAGUCCCUUCCGAGGCAUCUCAAAGACAUCCGCAUGCUUCCUCGAUACGUUGUUAAAACUCAAAGCUAAGUGUACUGUUGUUCAAUCUUUUUCUUCCAUAUCAUUGAUAAUGUUUCCUUCUAUUACAGUGAUUGAAUUAUGAUAUUGAUGAAUAGCUCUGCAAAAUACUUAAGCAUAGUCUACUUCAUCUUUUCAGUUAAGGUUUCAAUUUUUCCCAAUAGAAAUAGAAUUUAACUUUCAACUGGUUCCAUUCUGCAUCAUAUAUAAUCUAUGGGAAUUCUGCUGAUGUGCUCCAUGAGUGCUGACCAUCAAACGAAAGUAAAGUGUGUAGUCAAGAAAGAGGGAAAUGUGAGUAUGAAUUGAGUGAAUGGAAAACUCAGAGAUUAAUCUGAUGUAUGUAUGUAUAUAGUGAUUAGUGCACCAGAAGGAGUAUUGCACAUCAAUGCAGUAGAUCACUCACCUCUACUGCUGACUGAUUCAGCUAAUCUUACCAACAAAUUCAUAUGGCCAACACUGAAACACUGCUUCCAGCAGCAGCAGCAGCAGCUUCUCCUUUAGAUGCAAAUCCUAGGGAAAGGCUCCUUCAUGAUUUGAAUCUGGAUUAUUGAAUUCAAUGUUCAAUGUCCUUACUGUUGGCACCAGAUGCAGUUAGAAAGGAAAGUCUCGUGCACAUGAUGAAGCCACUAUACAAUGCUUUCGCUAAGCUAGUGGAAAUCUGGCUAGUUCAGCAUGUGCCACUGAAGACAAUUACAAUGAUCGUCUAAUGCCUUGUUUUAUGGUUGUUCCAAAUUAUGGUAGCAACGCGCAUACAGAAGUGGCUAAGGUAACAUGCGUCUCAAUAACAUUACCACUAAUAAUAAUCAUUUUCUGAUGAUCCUAGCUAGGGGAGGAGCUAAUUUUUUAAUUUCUCCAAAAUGAUGAAUUAAGGGAUGUUAUUCUUGAUUUCAUUUAAAAGUGAAUCUUUUCAUAUUUUGCAAUGCAAUAUUACAAUCUAGUAAAAUAUAUACCUGUAUUUAAAUGUUAAGCAAAUAUUU